UGAAGAACCUAUCAAAUAUUAGUUACAAAAUUGGACCGCAACAAUUUUAAAAAAUCAUUUUUUUUCUAGGUACUUAAGUAUCUAUUUAAUUAGAGAAACACCAAAAAAAUUCCAAGAUUCAACCACUAGCUAGGAACGGUCAUUCCCACCGUUUUGACCGCAUUUUGAAACGGGCAUAAAAAAUUCAAAAAAAAUCAAAAAAUUGGAAAACCUUCACAUUGUGUCAUUAUAUGUGACUAAGUUACCCGAAAAAAUAAUAAACUUGUAAUACGGCAAAUAUUUUUAAAAAGUGUUCUCAGAAAUGAGCUAUCAUGUGUGAAGAAUCAUGGCUUUCAACCCAAAUGCUCAAUCUUAUGGCCACAUUCAUGGCAUAGUUUGUUCAAAUGAUCUAAUAUUGUGCACAAAGGUGGAUAUUGGAAUGACAAACAAUGUUGCCCAAGAAAGUUUUCAUUUUCUUUGGACGGAAAUUUCAUUUUCCAUUUUUCGAGUGCCCAAAAUGAGUUUUUUUGUGAAGGACCUACCAAAUAUUUGUUGCAAAAUUGGACCAAAUCAUUUUUAUAAAAUAUUAGGCCAUAUUUAAUGCAUAAUUAACCAAAUGGUUGGGUGUCAAAAGCUUUUAUCCACCUCUGGUGAAAAAGACAAAUUUCUGCCGAUUCAGUUGGAAGCGGGUCAAAUUUGAACUGCAGCUGUCUCAUAGUUUGCUAUUUAUUUUUCCCAAAAGUCAAUUUUAGGUACAAAAGUAUCUAUUUAAUUAGAGAAACAUCAAAAGUUUUCCAAGAUUCAACCACUAGCUAGGAACGGUGAAGCCCGCCGUUUUGACCGCAUUUUGAAACGGGCAUAAAAAAUUUAAAAAAAGUCAAAAAAUUGGAAAACCUUCGCAUUGUGUCAUUAUAUGUGCCAAGUUAGCAGGAAAAAUAAUAAACUGUAAUACGGCAAUUCUUUUAAAAAAUUGUUCUCAGAAAUGAGCUAUCAUCUCUGAAGAUUUAUGGCUUUCAAGCCAAAUGAUCAAUCUUAUGGCCACAUUCAUGGCAUAGUAUGUUCAAAUGAUCUCAUAUUGUGCACAAGGGUGCAUAUUGGAAGGGCAAACAAUGUUGCCUAAGGGAGUUUUCAUUUUCUUUGGACGAAAAAUCAAUUUUCCAUUUUUCGAGUGCCCAAAAUGAGUUUUUUUUGUGAAGGACCUACCAUAUAUUUGUUGCAAAAUGGGACCAGGUCAUUUUUAUAAUAUAUUAGGCCAUAUUUAAUGUACAAUUGACAAAAUGGUUGGUCGUCAAAAGUACCUAUACACCUCUGGUGAAAAAGACAAAUUUCCGCCGAUUCAGCAGGAAGCUGUUCAAAUUUGAACUGCAGUUGCCUCAUAGUUUGCUCUUUAUUUUUUCCAAAAAUCAUUUAUAGGUACAUAAGUAUAUAUUUAAUCAGAAAUACAUGGUUUGGUGGCGAUACGUUGAGGUUUGGAUGGUGGCCCAGGGCCCCAACUCCAAAGCGCGUAGACUCGCAUGCCCGCCGCAUGGUCACCGCGUGACCGUGGCGUUGCCAUGCGUUCUGGGAAGCCUAGGCAUGUCUAGUAGGUUUCGCACUCCCCAGGUAGAUGCUUGGAAGAAAAUAACAACAGAAGAAUCUCACGAGGAGACCGAACAAUGCUCAAACAUGAAUUAGCACCCAAGUGUUUGAUUAGUGGUACGGGAAAUGCACAUGGCCAAUGGGCCUGAGUUUUGGCCGAGGAUGAUCAUCUACUAAGGACACUAUCUUGGAAAAUUUGCAGCUCAAAUGGAGGAGCCUAGGUGUCACUUGCUUUGCAACGUACCAAACUGGACAGAAAUAUGAAUGUUGAAGCCACACUCACAUGUAUUGUUAGAUGGGACUCAAAUUUUGUGGAGAGCUAUGAUUUGGGAAUAUAGAAGAUGUGGCAAAAAUUCAGCUCAUUAGGAUAUGCCUGGCUAGUACUUCCUUCACAACAGUUCGAGUUGAACAAAAACUUUGGAAAUUUGCCGAGGAAGAUUUACCAGGCAAAUGGAGUUGAAUAUUGUCAUGAGGCAAUGAUUUAGAUAGUAAAGAAUGCCCAAUUUUUUGGGGAAUUUUGGGAAUGACAGAAAUAUAGGUUUCUUCACAACCUAGGGCAAAAAUUGACACAUGGACAUGACACAUAGGCAAAACUGAUGAGGUGGCGCCUAGUCAUAGCAAUAAGUAGCAAUGCAUCCACGUUCACAACCUCAUGACUAUUUAUAUUGGUCGUAAUCAGGUAGAAAUAAGGUCAUUGGCGCCUCUUGUCUGCUUUGUGACCAUUUGGUGUAAGCAAUUUCAGGGUUUGAGCCCUUCCAAGCGAAAUGGUCGUGGAUUUACGACCAAUUCAGCUGGGGUCGCUAAGAGAAGGUCACAAGUUGACAUAUUUCUUGUAGUGAACCGGCGACUCCGGUGAAGCUCCAAUGCAGCAAGCGGCGACGCCGACGACGUAUGACCGACGUUCAUGGCAGCACCGACGGUGUGAUGAGCUCCAUUGCAGCGGGAGUUGAGGGAGAUGCCCCCGUCGCAACAGCAGCGACAGGGCUUGCAGCAACCAUGCCACGGGCUGGUAGUAGUGCGUGACGGCCAGCUCCUAGUAGGGAUUGGAGCGGCAGCGCAUAAGUUUUCAGUUUGCUGGCGAUGGAGCUCUCGGGGCAAAAGAAAACAGAACGAGGAAAUGGGUGGACGAGGAUAGAGAUAAGGCAAAGAUGAAAGCAACGUGGGGGUUGGGCCCAUAGGCACGUGUCACCCAAUGGAGGCGGUUUAAGCUUUGCUGAAAUCAACCGGAUGAAUUGAAACGUUUUCCUUUUUAAAUUCACGUUCGAAAUGCGUGCGGAUGUUUAUGACAUGUGGUUGGAUGCACGGGCCCGUAUCCGUGUCUGGCAUUCCGUUUUGCGGCACCGCGUUGGAGAUGCCCCAUGACAAUGGAGAUGGAGGAGGGGGUGCCAUCUAUUUAACCAUUGAGUCAUGGACUAAAGUAAAUCUAGGUGUAAAAUCGCCGAGACACGUUUUCACCUAAAAUCGCCGAGUCAUGGGCGAGAGUUGCUUUUCACCGCAGGGAAUUUGCGUCGCUUCUUCUCGAGGGCAGCCAGAUCUCGCUCAUGGGUGGAGUGUGAGGAACAAUUGAAGGAGCAUGUUGCUAGCUAUUUUUUUAAUCUGUUUACUUUCUCAACAGGACCAAAUAGGGAUGAAAGCUUGCACGCGGUCUCUCCAAAAGUGACUCUCAAAUGAAUCAUAGUCUAUGUGCAGAAUAUACAAAAGAGGAAGUGAAAGAAGCUUUGUUCAAUAUUGGUGACCUAAAGGCGCCAGGACCAGAUGGAAUGCCUGCAAUAUUCUACAAGCAGUUCUGGCAACUGGUGGGCAAUAAGUUAACGGAGGAAGUGCUAAAGUUCCUUCAAGGUGGAGAAAUGCCGGAAGGAUGGAACGAUACCACAGUGGUGUUAAUUCCAAAAAUUUCAAACCCAGAGAACUUGAAGGACCUAAGGCCAAUUAGCCUCUGCAAUGUCAUUUACAAGGUGAUCUCUAAAGUAAUUGCUAAUAGAUUGAAGCAUAUUCUACCUUAUAUUAUAUCUCCGAACCAAAGUGCAUUUGUUCCAGGUAGAAUAAUUUUGGAUAAUAUCUUAUUGGCCUACGAACUUACCCAUUUUUUGCAGAGAAGGAGAAGGGGUAAGGUAGGAUAUGCUACUGUAAAGCUCGACAUGAGUAAGGCUUACGACCGAGUAGAAUGGACAUUCUUGAAGAAAAUGAUGUUAAAAUUGGGGUUUGACAGUGAAUGGGUAAAUCUGGUGAUGAAGUGUGUUGCAACUGUGAGGUACCAGAUCAAGGUUAAUAGAGAUACAACAGAUGUAAUUAUUCCCCAGAGAGGACUGCGCCAGGGAGACCCCCUCUCACCUUACUUAUUUUUGUUGUGUGCGGAUGGUUUCUCAGCAAUGCUAAAUGAAGCUGAAAGAAAUGGGAGUCUGAGAGGGAUUAAAUUAUGCAGGGAGGCGCCAAGUGUGAGUCAUUUACUCUUUGCAGAUGACUCAUUGUUGCUCAUGGAAGCAAAUGUAGAGAAUGCUCGGGUUCUCAACGACAUAUUGCACAAAUAUGAAGCUUUCUCAGGACAGGUGGUAAACAAAGAUAAAUCAGCCAUCCUAUUUAGUAAGAAUACAAGUAGAGAGGAGAAAAGAGAAAUAAUGGAAAUCAUGAACAUAUCAACAGAAGGGAUAAAAGGGAGAUAUCUUGGACUGCCACCUUACAUUGGAAAGGCAAAAUCAAGUGCUUUCCAAUAUAUAAAGGAAAAAGUGUGGAAGAGAACCCAAGGUUGGAAAGAGAAGUUAUUAUCGAAAGCGGGAAAAGAGAUCUUAAUCAAGGCAGUAGCACAGGCAAUCCCAGUAUAUGCAAUGGCUUAUUUCGACCUAACCAAGUCCUUAUGUGAUGACCUUAGUUCCAUAAUAUGCAGAUUUUGGUGGAGCCAUAUGGAUAAGGUCAAUAAAAUCCACUGGACAAGUUGGGAGAAACUAUAUAAAUCCACUGGACAAGUUCCAUAAUAUUCAGAGACCCGCACUCUGUUAAUAUGGCCAUGCUUGCAAGACAAGGAUGGCGGCUACUGCAAAACCCUUCCUCUCUCUAUGCACGAGCACUUGAAGCGAAAUAUCAUCCCGGCCACAGCAUAAUUGAAGCAACGCCAAAGAAUGGGAUGUCUUAUGCACGCAGUAUUUUGAAAGGUGUACAACUCUUAAAGAAAGGCAUAGUUUGGCGAGUCGGAGAUGGAAGAAAUAUUAAUAUUUGGAAAGACCCCUGGCUUCCAAGAGGCAUCACCAGAAGAGUUACCACACUGCAAGGACGAAAUUUAGUCACAAGGGUGGCGGAACUUAUUGAUCCAAUAACUAAUGGUUGGGACAAGGACCUAGUGUGCCAAACUUUCAAUGCAGAAGAUGAUAAGAUAAUCCUACAAAUCCCCAUUUAUGAGCAUACAAAGGACUGUGUGGCUUGGCACUUUGACAAGAAAGGGAAUUUUUUCGUGAAGUCGGCAUACAGAGUAGCAGUAGAUUGUGCAGAAAGGGAAUCAAGAUAUGGCCAGCCAUCUAGCUCUGCAAGCAGAGGAUAAACAACUAAUUUUGAAUGGAAGAAAAUAUGGGCCUUACCUCUCCCGAAUAAAAUUUUGCACUUCCUAUGGCGUAUGUCAACAUACAGCUUAUCUUUAAGAAUGAAAUUGAGGAAUAGAGGUAUGAAAGUGGAUACUAGAUGUCCAGUUUGUAACAGAUUGGGUGAGGAUGGGGGGGCACUGCUUUCUGAAAUGCAAGAAAGUGAGGAGGCUUUGGUGGCUAGCCCAAAUGGAAGAAAUUAGAGAGAAACUUUUAAAAAGCAGUGACCCAAUAAGUAUGUUCGAUGAGAUAUUUCGCCUGACCGAGGAAGAUCGCAUGAAGGUGUGUAUUCUGUUCUGGGUGUUUUUUGAAUGCAGGAACCUUAAGAAGCACAGCAGCACCCAGAAACAAGAUUCUAUCAUAUGUUGGUCUCCUCCCCCAAGUGGGAUCCUCAAAAUAAAUACUGAUGGUGCUUUUCAUGAGUCAUCUUUGUCUGGUGGAUGGGGUUUUACUGUCAGAAAUGAUAGUGGUGUGCUUAUGGCAGCAGGAGCAGGAAAUCUGGAACAUGUAUCCAAUGCUCUCCGCACCGAAGCCCUUGCCAUGUUAUAUGCAACCAAUACUACUACUACUACACAAAUGGGAUGUAAUCGUGUGAUAUUUGAAACAGACUCCGUGGUGUUGAAGCAGGCGAUCUUAAGCGAGGAGUAUGACUUGUCGACUUUAGGUGCAGUGUUUCAGGAAAUAAAAUUUCUUGAAUGUUAGUGUUUGUCCAAGAUCUUGUAAUGUAGCAGCUCACGGCCUAGCAGCACAUGGUGUAAAAUUAGGAGACAGUGAAUAUGAAACUUGGCUAGGCUAUUUCCCUGAGUUUGUUGUAAACUCUGUAGCUGGUGAUUCGGCCGGUCUAAAUUUGUAAUGGAAUACAAGGUUGUUCCUUCAAAAAAGAAAAGAAAAAGAAAAGCAACUCUCGCCGCACGCACGCACGCACGCACGCACGGCGUCAUCGCUCAGUUCCAUCUCAUCUCGCCCCUCCCUUUCCACCGUUUCCAGUAAGUUUCGGCCUCGCUUUCCCGACCCAGCCCGCAAGCCACACGCAUCGGGUCUCAGCGAGCGAUCUCACCACUGACCCGCUCCCUCCUCCCGCGUCACGUGUCCCCCCACUCUCCCCCCAUCUCCCCCGCCUCACAGCUCACCCCGCCGGCGGCCGCAGCGGCGCGCCCCCGACCAGGCGGAGCCGCGCCGGCGGCCAGGGCAGCGGAGAUGGUCUUCGUCUGGCUCGCCGCCUUCUUCCUCGUCGUCACGCUCAUCGUGCUCGUCAUCUUCCAGGUGAGACAGACCCCCCGCCCCGCCUCUUCUCCGGUCGCGGCCGGCUCGGGCCAUACGGAGCCCCUGGGCCCCGGCGCGAUCUCGCCUUGUCGUCUGUUAACCCCCUGGCGAUUCUGCCGAGAUUUUGGGAAGGGGUGGGCGGCGGAUUUACGCGUUCUCCGACCCGAAUUCUCCCACGAUCCGGGGUUUGGAGAGGGGCCUGACUCCGGAUUGCGGAUUUGGAGCUUCUGGUUGGCUGGAUAGCGCAGGAGCGCCAGGGGAUUGGGUGCUGCUGCGUGUUCUGCUGCUGGUGCUGGUUCGUGCGCGGUGUCUGCGUCCAGAUCUCCCACAUGUUCGUCCUGCGUUAGCCUGCAGCAACCCAGAAUUAACGCCCGGCAACCGUCGUUUCUAGUCUUGCAGUUCUGAAAAUCAGUUUCAGUUCUGAAAAUCGAUUUCAUUUGUUUUGUUGGUAGACGCAUUAGGUGCUCCGAUAGGUAUUCAGCACACAGUAUGUUCAGUAAAAAAAAUGAAUCGAUCUUUAUAAGGUCGUACUGAAGGUUUCGUGUGAGGUGGGUUUAUUCACCAAAUGUGCAAUCAAGCUCUUGUCCCAGUUUGGUAGGGCUAUACGAGUUCCACCCUCUAUCCUGCUACUGUUAGUCUAUCAUGAUACCUCUAGAGAUCAGAAUCAGGUAGUGGAUGGUUAUGAACUUAGAAUAUCUUUGCAGCUUGCCUAGUGUGAAACAUUCCGUGUUCAAGUACCUGAUCUUUGCCCUUAGAUUGGGUGAGGUAUCUAGCUUUUGUACUACCUUUUCCUAAACCUUCUUUUCUUACUGUAUACUUUUCCCGGCUCCAUUUUCUGUCUUCCUGUAUCUAGCUUUUGUUACUGUAUCCUUUUGUUGGUUCUAGCUGCAACUUCCUCUGUGCUUAGGUAAGCCCUUCAUGGGUGAUGAACAUUUUCAGCAGACUAGUUUUGAUUUUCUUGUAGGACAAAGGGAAAAUCAUCGAUAUAUAUCUCCAUUGAUUUUGAUUGCCAGGUUGUUUUGGCAUUUAGUAUUUCCUAAUGUUCCUGAUUAAACAUAGAACCUGACUGUUUUUGUUUCGUGUGAGGUGGAUCGUUCAUCCUUGCUCAUAUUGCUUUAGGUGGAGUCUGCAUGGCUCUUUACUCAUGUUUAACGUUUUAAUCAACAACAUUCAUAAGUAAGCUUAGCCAGAAAGUUAUUCUUAUUCCUGACGAUUUAUGUUUCUUUUACAGUUGAUGUGCUUGGCAGAUCUGGAGUUCGAUUAUAUCAACCCGUUUGAUUCAUCCUCUCGAAUCAAUAAAGUGGUUAUGCCAGAAUUUAUAGUGCAAGCACUUCUAAGUGCAUUAUUCCUCUUAUCUGGGCAUUGGGCGAUGUUCUUGCUUUCUGCCCCAAUGGUGUACUAUAAUUAUACAUUGUAAGUGACUCUUGGCUUCUGUUUGCCUUACAAUUUUUAAAACAACUGAUAUGGUUCCUCUAGGCUGUGGUCAGUAUUUUGUUUAUUGAACAUUAGCUGCUACAUAACGUACCAUGCAUAGUUUAACAGAUUAACUGAAAGUUUGAAAUAGUAACAUGCGUCAUUUCUCAUCAUACGUGAGAACUGAGAACCAGAAGAAAAUAGGGAAACGGGUGCUGAAGACUGAUACAUCUAUUUUAUAUUUUUAUGUGAUGUUAGACUGUUUGUUUUGAUAGAAAUAUUUAGUGAUAUGGACCCAAGUCUUCUCCUGCUUCAGUCUUUGUACUUCACACAUAAUGUUCUGAAGGUGUUUUCAUGAUCUAAGUUCUUGGAAAUUAUUUUAUUUCCUAAGAUAUUUGGAUGCAUCUAAGUGCUGUGGUACAAUAUCGUCAUGUUAGUGUGAAAAAUCUCAAAUCUCUGAAACAUAGAUUUAUUUAAAGAGCCUGCAAAUAUGGCGUCACUGGUUGGAAUCACAAACAGCUAGGCAUAUAUAACCUAAAAUUGGCAAUACAUGCUCUGCAGCGAAGCUAAGAAUAGGUCUUGCACCCUUAAAAUUCUGCUUUUGUCUCCAUAUAUUGACUUUGGGACUUCAGGGCACUGACCUGCUGUCAGAUUAUUCGUGCAUUUACUGUUUGUACUAUCUGAAUAACUUCUUUACUACAGCACAUGGUGUCACUCACACACAUAACCCUACUGUAUCCGUUUUUUAACUCAUAAUUAGCUCUACUUGGCUGGGAUGUACUCACUGAAGGUUUUGCAUGCGCCAUUCUUGGUUUUAUAUGUUGUGAAUAAGUGUAACCUUUUGUUGUCUUUGCAGGUACGAGCGGCGGCAGCAUCUUGUAGAUGUGACAGAGAUAUUUAACCAUCUUUCACGGGAGAAGAAGCGCCGUCUUUUUAAGAUAGCUGCUCUUAUUGUCCUCCUAUUCUUGUCCUUGUUCUGGUAAAUAUAACAUAUACCUACAUUAUUUGCUACUCCCUCCUAUCCAAAAAAAGAGUCGUGGUUUUAGUUCCUAACUAAAACCACGACUGGUUUUAGUUAGGAACUAAAACCACCGAUCCAAAAAAAAGAGUCGUGGUUUUAGUUCCUAACUAAAACCAGUCGUGGUUUUAGUUAGGAACUAAAACCACGACACUUUUUUUGGAUAGGAAGGAGUAGUAUUCACUGCAAGUCUGCAACCAGCAAAGAAGGAAAAUAACCGCCUCUUGUUUCUGUGUUUGUCUGCAGGAUGAUUUGGAGCGUACUGGAGGAGCACGAGUAGAACGAGAAAAACACUGAUAGCUCAACCUGGUUCUGCAGCCAUUAGUUAGGUAUUACGACAUGGUCCUCAUGGCCUGCUGGACACCUACUCCGAUGCCGUCAUUAUUCAUCCCCAAGCCUUUUGGAUAAAAUUUAGGGUGUCUGGAGAAACGAUGCAAGCAGAAGGGCGAAUACAACGUGUCCGAGGUGCUGUUUGUUGCUCGCGCCUAGCGAAAUCUCCUACUGUUGUAGCGUGUAACAUGACAUGUAAGUUAGGAGCCACUCCCUGUUUAUUUGAUUGUGCAUCCGUUCAUAUGGGGCGAAGGAGUUUGCUGCACCCAACUGUGCAUGGUUUUUGUUCCGACCGACAUUUUCAUGUUAUGUGUUGCCUUGCACCUUUAUAUAUGCCGUUGACUAUGUUAAUGUCGUGGUCGAUUUGUAUUGUUGAUUGAUGGGUAUGCAAGCAGAGUAGGCAUUUCAAUUUGGACUGCCGGUACAUGUUUCAGUUGAUUGAUAAGUACCAAGUGGUAUAGAUUCUCAUUUAUGGAUGCAGUUUGUUUCAGUUUAUUGAUAAAUAAUUAUCGAAACUCGUCAGAAGAGCAUAAACUGUUUUAUUUCAGAUGAACAUAAACACACCACUAAUUGGCCAACAGCAAAAGCGUACGAGUAAUCACAACUAUUAGCUCUCGGGUAGAGAACGCUUGGACCAAAAUACAGCAGUAAUAGUAUAACUAGCAGCACCAUAAGAACUCAUGGACCAUCUCCCUUCAGACCUAUGAAGCAACCCGGCUUCUUUUCAG
rnacentral:lncRNA from 1 species